rnacentral:rRNA from 1 species
UACAGAGGGUGCAAGCGUUGUUCGGAAUUACUGGGCGUAAAGCGCGCGCAGGCGGACCCUGCAAGUCCGGAGUGAAAUCUCACUGCUCAACGGUGAGGCUGCUUUGGAUACUGCGGAUCUGGAGACCGGUAGAGGCUGGUAGAAUUGCAGGUGUAGCGGUGGAAUGCGUAGAGAUCUGCAAGAAUACCCGUGGCGAAGGCGGCCAGCUGGGCCGGUUCUGACCGCUGGAGGCGCGAAAGCGUGGGGAGCGAACAGG